AACAAUAUAAUGUUCCUCUUGCAUGUUCCUUCAACUUGUGGAUUUGCCAUUGAUGUGUUGUAGAAAAUAUUAAAAAUGGAAACAGGGAAUGAAAAAAGAGAUAAAUGUGUUGUAGAGAUUUGUAGCAGAAGCCAUUCUUCUCAUUUAGUCAUAACCUAGUCAACCUAGUCACAUGUGCUGCAAUGAAAAAAGAGACAAAUGUGUUGUAGAGAUUUGUAGCAGAAGCCGUUCUUUUCAUUUAGUCGUAACCUAGUCACAUGUGCUGCAAUGAAAAUGGACACCUCUGUGAAGUAUUUAAAUUUAUUUCCUUUCUGAUUUCUUUUCAAUGUGUAGUUGUGAGUUUUGAACUGUUCAUCAAUUUGGGUUUUUUCUUCUUGGGAUAUUAUUUUUCUGCAUAGCGUUUUUUUUUUCUCUCUCAGUUCCUUUUAUUUGCCAUGGAUUUUUUAUGCAUUGCACUUGUCAUCUUUUUUGGUUUUGAUAUUCUUCAUUCUCCGUAUCUACCCUUUUGAAACCCCAGUUUAUAGCUUGUUGUUUCACCCAGUCCAGAUCUUUUAGUUGCAUCUCCAGGUCUGUUGCCAUCACGAACAGAUACUGUCGAUUCUGUGUCCUACUUCCUACAUUCUAGACUCCAUUUGGUGUGAACGUUUCUUGGCACCUGGACCCGAAUCUGUUGCUGCUGUUAUUUUGUGUCGGAAAAUGGUCGAGGAAGUGAAAUAGAACAGAGAGAAUAGAAGAGGGAAAAGAGGAUUAGGGUUUGGACACUCCCUCUCGCUUAUAUACUUUGUGAUGAAGACAAAAAAAAUGACAAGAUUGCCCCUUGUUUCAAUGUAUUUGGUAGAACUUAAAGUGUGCCAAAUGAGACUAAGGGGCUACAUUACCAAAGCUAAAGACUAGGUGGGCCGUGCAACUGUAUGGUCCUUCUUACCAUCACAUUGGGAUCGUAUGGUCCAAAUUUUCAUCAUCAUUAACACUCCCCUUAUGAUGGAUCACAAAUUUCAUCCAUGCUCAUCUUCUCUUGAAUGCUCGAUGACUGGCUUCUUCCAAGGGCCUUGGUGAAAAUGUUUGCAACUUGAUCUUGAGAUCUAUAUACACCAGAGAUACCUUAUUAGAGGACGCCUUCUCAUCAAUAAAAUGACAAUCCACCUUAAUGUGCUUGUUCCUCUCAUGGAUGACUGGAUUGCUAAUAAUGUGCAAAGACGCUGAUUAUCACAAUGCAAGGGAAUGGGACCUUCAACUGGAAAACCAUUCUCAUAAAUUAAUGCUUUGAGCCACAUCAGCCCCCAGGUUGUAUGGGCCAUAGCUCUAUACUUAGCCUAUGCACAUGAUCUUGCCACCACAUUCUACUUUUAGCUCUUUCAGGUCACCAAAUUACCACCAACACGAUAACCUGUGGUCUAGCAUCCGUAAGUAGGAGACUGGACUAAUCUGCAUUUGAGUACCCUUUAACAUAAAUGUGUCUCUAUAUAUCUUGCAAGUUAUAUCACGGCAAAGGGCUCCCUUCAAAUACCUUAGCAUACGACUAAUUGCAUCCUAAUGAGUUCUAGAAGCUUGCAUGAAUUGACUCACAACACUUGCAACGAAUGUUAUGUUAGGAUGGGUAAUUUUGUGAUAUAUAAGAUUUUCAACCAGCCUAUGAUAGUUGACUGGAUCAUGAAACAUGUUUCUUGGAUCUACAACCAACCAGCUUUUGAUUAGGGCAAGGUGUUCCGUAUUUGUUAUGAUACGGCCGUAAAGGCCGAUACAUAUAGGUAACGGUCGUGACUGUUACUCGAUAUGGGGGUGAAACGGGGCGUUUGGUUUUUUGGGAGUGUAUCGUUUGUUAUGGGGGCCGUAAUGGCUAUUAUGGGGCAUAACGACCGUUACUCCCGUAACGGUUGAAAAAUAAUUUUUUUUAAAAAAUCUAUUUAAAUCCAUUUCUCCUCAAUUUUUAACUUCUCUCAUUCCAAAAACUCUCAUAGAUCAUAGAUCACUCUUACUAUAGUUUUUAGGAUUAAAACUGUAGAUUGAAGUGAUUUGAGAGAAUAGAAGCUUUGAGGGCCGUUUUUUCUAAAAAUUGAAAAAGUGGUAUUUAUGCCUCCCAUUUUUUUUUUUUCCGAUUUCUAGUUCUAAUACUUGAUUGUGAUGUGUAAACAUUUGAGACAACCAUAUUCAUAAAUUCACUAGAUAGUCCGACACAACAGCCUCACCAAAGAGUGAAUUAUUACGGUACCAUAAACGUGUUCAAAACAAAAAAAUGAAUACAUAUUUGGAAUAUUUACAUUAUUUUGGAUUUUCUACAAUUUUUUGGGAAAAAAAUCAACCGUUACGGGGGUAAUAUUGGUUGUUGCACACUCGUAUUAGUAUUGUUGGUGACCGUUGUGACCAUCGUCCGAUCUAGACUUCUUCCUGGGAGCCCGAGAUCGCUCUACGGAUCUCUCACGUCUCGACCCCCAUUCGUAACUAACCCCUUUGCCUAGGAAUCCUAAUUGCUUGAUUUCUUCCUCAUCUCAUUAGACACGAGAGCUGCAAUGACUUUUUCCGUAUUCAGAGUACUCUUCCCAUAUAGCAGAGUAGUAACGAGAUGGUUGUAUGUUGUGGGAAGCAAUGCUAGAAGUAUCAAUGCUUUAUCUUCAUCCUUGAUCGUCUCUUCGAACCUUAACAACUCACUAAAUAUCUUCGUAAACAAGUUUAUAUGCUCCAGAAGUUCAGAUACUUCUUUCAUUCGUAGCACAUAAAGUUGUUUAUUCACAAACAACUUGUUAGUGAGGGACUUCGCCAUGUAUAGAUAUUCUAAUUUCUUCCACAUAUCCAGGGCUGAUUCCUCAUCUAGAACGUCGUACAUGACUUCAUCCGAUAGACAGAGACGGAUGACACUCAUAGCCUUCUCUUUGAGUUUACUCCAGUCGUCAUCUUCUCUGGUUUAGUCUCCAACAACGCCUUGCUCAACCCUUGUGACACUAGAAUAUCCUUAACCUUUCGUUGCCACAAACUGAAAUUGUUUUUCCCGUCGAAUUUCUAUAUAUCAAACUUCGACCCUGACAUCUUUGUUGAAUUCCCGAACGUCCAUAACCUGUCACUUUGAUACCACUUUGUUGAAAUUCUGAGCCCAUAACAGACCUUGAUCAACCCUAGAUAUUAGAAAUUUGGAUCUAAUACCAUUUUCAAUCCUACGCUUUGUGGAAGCAUGUUUAGUGAAGAUAGAACAAUCAAACUAGAAUCAACCUAUCAAGCAAUCACAAACUCACGAUUUUGUGUGGAGAACCCUUUUGGCAAAACCACGUCACAAAGUGAUAGAGAUCUCCAUUAUAAUAGAAACAUUUUGAGUUACACCACUCCCAUUCUCCUAUUACAGAAGCAAUCCAAUCUCCCUUGCAAUGCACACCUCUAGGAAAACCCCUAGCUCUUGAGAAAAACUCGUCCUUUCAAGCCCUAAUCGAACUCGCCUUAGUUAUGCAAAACCGCGUAACUAAGUCAGCAAUGUUCGGUCGGACCGAACUCGCCUUUAAUUGGAUCAAUAGAGUCCUACUCUAUUCUUGACUUCUAACUAAAAAAUCUUGCACCCUAGUUCGGUCUGACCGACAGAGCCCUGCUUCAACUCCCAGACUAUGUAGAAUCCAAGACAUUCGGCAUUUGCUCAACACACAUAAUAAGUUUCAUUUGUAUAAGUUCCUAAGCUAUAUGUUGUCUGAUAGAAGUGAUGCAACUAUAUUCAAUCUUUUAGGGGAUGUUAAAAAAGUCAUCAUUACAUAGAAAUCAAAAGAUUACAAAAAACUAGUGCACACAAUAAGUUUCCUUCAUAUAAGUUCCUAAGCUAUGUGUUGUCUGAUAGAAGUGAUGCAACUAUAUUCAAACUCAAUUCAUAUAAUUUAUAUAUCUAAGAAAUGGAUUAGGAGCGGAAGAUUUGACAAAAAAAAUGUGAUUUUGUAUGUUUUAUUUUGGUUGAGCUUUUCAAAAUUUUUUCCCAGAAAAACGAAGUGUUGCUAUCGGUAUCUAUGUAUCAACAACACUGUUGAUACAUCAUUUAUACAAUGUGAGAAAUUGCCUUACAUUGUGAUGAGUAUCUCAACAUAUAUCUACCGUGGUUAGGAUGUCCAUAGUGUGUGCACUUUUCAGUUCCCCAAUCCCUGCCAUAUGCCCCUUUGAAUUUCUACCACCAAAUUGACCACAAUGGGUACCAUGGCCUCCUCCUGAAUCUUGCAUGGGAGCACCAUGACAACCGCCAUAUCCAUGGUCCAAUGUAAUAUUACGAGCCCUCAAUUGUCAAACACGAGAGAAUGCCUCAGUAACAGUCAGAAUCUCAUUACCUCCAUGAAUGCAAGGACAAACUGGCUCGAACUUGGAUCACAAUCCAGAAAGAAAUUUUGCAGCCAGAAACUUCUCAUGCUAUUUCUUCAUAAUAUAUUAAUCCAAGGUGAAGGGCUGAUAUAUGUUCAGCUCUUUCCCCAUAUCCUCAAGGGUAAGGUAAUACUCUCCAAUACUUCUACCACCCCAUUUGAGUUAUAGUUUUCUCAUACAACACGUGUUUAACUUAUAUCUUCCUCUUUACAUUUCUUUUAAAGUAUGUCACACUUCCUUUGAGGUCUAAAAGAACAUAACUUAGCACUUAUGCCAUCAUAACUAGCAGUACCUUCCCGAGUUUUAGAGGAUACAAACUUGGGCAUCUUCUGCCAUCAUAACUAGCAGUACCUUCCUGAGGUUUAGAGGAUGUAAUAUACUUCAACUUGCAGUGGCCUGACCAAAAAAAAAACAAAAA